UGCUUAACACAUGCAAGUCGAACGGCAGCACGGUCUAGCUUGCUAGAUGGGUGGCGAGUGGCGAACGGGUGAGUAACGCGUAGGAAUAUACCUUAAAGUGGGGGACAACUUGGGGAAACUCAAGCUAAUACCGCAUAGAUCUCUGAGGAGAGAAGCUGGGGACCUUCGGGCCUGGCGCUUUAAGAUUAGCCUGCGUCCGAUUAGCUAGUUGGUGGGGUAAGGGCCUACCAAGGCGACGAUCGGUAGCUGGUCUGAGAGGAUGACCAGCCACACUGGAACUGAGACACGGUCCAGACUCCUACGGGAGGCAGCAGUGGGGAAUAUUGGACAAUGGGGGGAACCCUGAUCCAGCAAUGCCGCGUGUGUGAAGAAGGCCUGAGGGUUGUAAAGCACUUUCAGUGGGGAGGAGGGUUGACAGGUUAAGAGCUGGUUGACUGGACGUUACCCACAGAAGAAGCACCGGCUAACUCCGUGCCAGCAGCCGCGGUAAUACGGAGGGUGCGAGCGUUAAUCGGAAUUACUGGG
rnacentral:rRNA from 1 species